AGGUGCAACAAAGCUAACUGGAGAGUCAGCACACACUCAUGCAGCCCUGAGGAGAGCUCUGAUCAGCCAAAUGCACCAGUUGUUGGAAACAUGGCUGUGGCAGUUUGCUGGUUAACAUGAGCAACCGCUGCUGGUAAGACGAGACAAGUCACUGGAGUAGAGUGCCGCCACUGCCGCCGGUUACCUUGGAGAUGAGCUCGUCAUGG